rnacentral:rRNA from 1 species
GACGAACGCUGGCGGCGUGCUUAACACAUGCAAGUCGAACGGAAAGGCCCUGCUUUUGUGGGGUGCUCGAGUGGCGAACGGGUGAGUAACACGUGAGUAACCUGCCCUUGACUUUGGGAUAACUUCAGGAAACUGGGGCUAAUACCGGAUAGGAGCUCCUGCUGCAUGGUGGGGGUUGGAAAGUUUCGGCGGUUGGGGAUGGACUCGCGGCUUAUCAGCUUGUUGGUGGGGUAGUGGCUUACCAAGGCUUUGACGGGUAGCCGGCCUGGGAGGGUGACCGGGCACAUUGGGACUAAGGUACGGCCCAGACGGCUACGGGGGGCAGCAGGGGGGAAUAUUGCACAAUGGGCGGAAGCCUGAUGCAGCAACGCCGCGGGCGGGAAGACGGCCUUCGGGGUGUGAACCGCUUUCGCCUGUUACGAAGCGGGAGUGACGGUAAUGGGUAAAGAAGCACCGGCUAACUACGUG